rnacentral:lncRNA from 1 species
UUUAACACUAGCAGAAUAUAAAUUAAUUACCUCCAGUUCAGCCAUUGCGAAGACGAGACUAGUUCCAGUGUCUAAAUAUUCUUGAACCUUAUCAUGCAUUACUUUCAGUUUGGUAAAUCUUUUUCAUGGCGGCAAGCGGAUAAUUUUCCGAAUCUUCUCAGGAUGCCCAACAAACAAUUUCAGCACGCAACCUUAUUCAGAUUCUGAUACAGUGUGAUGAACACAAUGGACUAGAGUCAAUAAAGAUCCAACUCAUGCACAAAAUUGCCACUACUACAGCUCUAUCACCAAUAUAUACACAGCAAUUGCGAUAGCAACAGAUCGACAGGCCGAUAGAAAGAUCAGCUCAACACAAGACUGCUCAGAAAACCAAUGCACACUUCUUCUGUGCAGUGUUCUCUGCACUUGCUGGCCAAUGUAUCCUGAUUCAUCAAUCAUCUACAUCUUUUGUCAGGAUAUAUAUAUAUAUAUAUAUAUAUAUAUAUAUAUAUAUAUAUAUAUAUAUAUAUAUAUAUAUAUAUAUAUAUAUAUAUAUAUAUAUAUAUAUAUACAUGAAGGUAUAUGAACAUGGGCUAUUUCUACAUUUCUACAACCAAAUGUGAUGAUGGACCAU